rnacentral:rRNA from 3 species
CACCCGUUCCCAUCCCGAACACGGAAGUUAAGCCUCAGAUCGCCGAUGGUACCUGGCCCCCGGGCCCGGGAGAGUAGGUCGCCGCUGGAU